UUAAAUUCAACGGCCGCUGUAUUCCUGACGGUGAUAAUGUAGGAAAAUAAAUAGUUGUUUAAUUGACGAACGUAGGUGAAUGGCUUAACGAGGUUUCCACUGUCUUAAAUAUAAAGUUCAAAAAACUUAAAUAAUAGUGAAGAUGCUAUUUAAAACUGUAAGACGAGAAGACCCUAUAAAGCUUAACUAUAAUCUCAAAUUGUUACUACAUCACGUCUAAGUGCUCAGUGUUAUUUUUGAGAAUGGUAGUUUGGUUGGGGCAACCGCAUUUUAAAACUAAAAAAUGUAAUAUUAAUAUUACCUUAAAUUAUUGUUUAAUUUAUAAAUUUAACAACCACAAAGUGGAUAUAAUGACCUGUCUUUUUCUUAAUGCAAUUAAGGACAAUAAAUAAAUAAAAGCUACUUUAGGGAUAACAGGUUAAUUUUAUCCUAGAGAUGUUAUCAAAGAUAAAGUUUGACACCUCGAUGUUGAAUUAAGUUAUCCUAGUAAUGCAGAAGUUCCUAAGGGUUGGUCUGUUCGACCAUUAAAAAUCUUACAUGAUUUGAGUUCAUUCCGU
rnacentral:rRNA from 1 species